CAAUAGCGUAUAUUAAAGUUGUUGCAGUUAGAACGCUCGUAGUCGGAUUUCGGGGCGGGCCGACCGGUCUGCCGAUGGGUAUGCACUGGUCGGCGCGUCCUUCCUUCCGGAGACCGUCCCUACUCUUAACUGAGCGGGGGCGGGAGACGGGACGUUUACUUUGAAAAAAUCAGAGUGUUUCAAGCAGGCAGCUCGCUCUUGCAUGGAUUAGCAUGGGAUAAUGAAAUAGGACUUUGGUGCUAUUUUGUUGGUUUCGAACACCGAAGUAAUGAUGAGAAGGGACAGUCAGGGGCACUCGUAUUCCGCCGAGAGAGGUGAAAUUCUCAGACCAGCGGAAGACGAACCACUGCGAAAGCAUUUGCCAGGGAUGUUUUCACUGA
rnacentral:rRNA from 1 species